GUUGACCUCAAAUCAGGUAAGAU
rnacentral:rRNA from 1 species